CCUACGGGAGGCUGCAGUGGGGAAUAUUGGACAAUGGGGGGAACCCUGAUCCAGCCAUGCCGCGUGUGUGAAGAAGGCCCUCGGGUUGUAAAGCACUUUCAGUGAGGAAGAACGCCUGGUGGUUAAUACCCAUCAGGAAAGACAUCACUCACAGAAGAAGCACCGGCUAACUCCGUGCCAGCAGCCGCGGUAAUACGGAGGGUGCGAGCGUUAUUCGGAAUUACUGGGCGUAAAGCGCGCGUAGGUGGCUUGAUAAGCCGGUUGUGAAAGCCCCGGGCUCAACCUGGGAACGGCAUCCGGAACUGUCAAGCUAGAGUGCAGGAGAGGAAGGUAGAAUUCCCGGUGUAGCGGUGAAAUGCGUAGAGAUCGGGAGGAAUACCAGUGGCGAAGGCGACCUUCUGGACUGACACUGACACUGAGGUGCGAAAGCGUGGGUAGCAAACAGGAUUAGAUACCCUAGUAGUC
rnacentral:rRNA from 1 species